rnacentral:rRNA from 1 species
CGUAGGGUGCAAGCGUUAAUCGGAAUUACUGGGCGUAAAGCGUGCGCAGGCGGUUUUGUAAGUCAGAUGUGAAAUCCCCGAGCUCAACUUGGGAACUGCGUUUGAAACUACAAGACUAGAAUAUGUCAGAGGGGGGGUAGAAUUCCACGUGUAGCAGUGAAAUGCGUAGAGAUGUGGAGGAAUACCAAUGGCGAAGGCAGCCCCCUGGGAUAAUAUUGACGCUCAUGCACGAAAGCGUGGGGAGCAAACAGGAUUAGAUACCCUGGUAGUCCACGCCCUAAACGAUGUCUACUAGUUGUUGGUGGAAGUAAAAUCCAUGAGUAACGCAGCUAACGCGUGAAGUAGACCGCCGUGGGGAGUACGGUCGCAAGAAUU